rnacentral:rRNA from 1 species
GGCGGCAGGCCUAACACAUGCAAGUCGAGCGGAAACGACACUAACAAUCCUUCGGGUGCGUUAAUGGGCGUCGAGCGGCGGACGGGUGAGUAAUGCCUAGGAAAUUGCCUUGAUGUGGGGGAUAACCAUUGGAAACGAUGGCUAAUACCGCAUAAUGCCUACGGGCCAAAGAGGGGGACCUUCGGGCCUCUCGCGUCAAGAUAUGCCUAGGUGGGAUUAGCUAGUUGGUGAGGUAAUGGCUCACCAAGGCGACGAUCCCUAGCUGGUCUGAGAGGAUGAUCAGCCACACUGGAACUGAGACACGGUCCAGACUCCUACGGGAGGCAGCAGUGGGGAAUAUUGCACAAUGGGCGAAAGCCUGAUGCAGCCAUGCCGCGUGUAUGAAGAAGGCCUUCGGGUUGUAAAGUACUUUCAGUUGUGAGGAAGGGGGUAGCGUUAAUAGCGCUAUCUCUUGACGUUAGCAACAGAAGAAGCACCGGCUAACUCCGUGCCAGCAGCCGCGGUAAUACGGAGGGUGCGAGCGUUAAUCGGAAUUACUGGGCGUAAAGCGCAUGCAGGUGGUUCAUUAAGUCAGAUGUGAAAGCCCGGGGCUCAACCUCGGAACUGCAUUUGAAACUGGUGAACUAGAGUACUGUAGAGGGGGGUAGAAUUUCAGGGUGUAGCGGUGAAAUGCGUAGAGAUCUGAAGGAAUACCAGUGGCGAAGGCGGCCCCCUGGACAGAUACUGACACUCAGAUGCGAAAGCGUGGGGAGCAA